GACGAACGCUGGCGGCGUGCUUAACACAUGCAAGUCGAACGAAGAGCGAUGGACGCUUGCUUCUAUCAAUCUUAGUGGCGAACGGGUGAGUAACGCGUAAUCAACCUGCCCUUCAGAGGGGGACAACAGUUGGAAACGACUGCUAAUACCGCAUACGAUCUAAUCUCGGCAUCGAGGAUAGAUGAAAGGUGGCCUCUACAUGUAAGCUAUCACUGAAGGAGGGGAUUGCGUCUGAUUAGCUAGUUGGAGGGGUAACGGCCCACCAAGGCGAUGAUCAGUAGCCGGUCUGAGAGGAUGAACGGCCACAUUGGGACUGAGACACGGCCCAGACUCCUACGGGAGGCAGCAGUGGGGAAUCUUCCGCAAUGGACGAAAGUCUGACGGAGCAACGCCGCGUGAGUGAUGACGGCCUUCGGGUUGUAAAGCUCUGUUAAUCGGGACGAAAGGCCUUCUUGCGAACAGUUAGAAGGAUUGACGGUACCGGAAGAGAAAGCCACGGCUAACUACGUG
rnacentral:rRNA from 1 species